AAGGAUCAUUAACGAAUUAUCGAGGUUGUGCUGGUUCUUACAAGUGCACGCCUCUUCAUUUCAUUCACACCUGUGCACCCUUAGAGACGUUAUUACCCCCGUAUACGAAAACCUUAGGGUUAGGGUUAGCGGCUAUUUACACACACUUUUAAAACAUUAUGAAUGUAAUCGCAGUAAUGCAAAAAAUAUAACUUUCAACAACGGAUCUCUUGGUUCUC
rnacentral:misc_RNA from 1 species